rnacentral:rRNA from 1 species
GACGAACGCUGGCGGCGUGCUUAACACAUGCAAGUCGUACGGUAAGGCCCUUUCGGGGGUCCACGAGUGGCGAACGGGUGAGUAACACGUGAGUAACCUGCCCACAACUUUGGGAUAACGCUAGGAAACUGGUGCUAAUACUGGAUAUGUGCUCCUGCUGCAUGGUGGGGGUUGGAAAGCUCCGGCGGUUGUGGAUGGACUCGCGGCCUAUCAGCUUGUUGGUGGGGUAGUGGCCUACCAAGGCGGCGACGGGUAGCCGGCCUGAGAGGGUGACCGGCCACAGUGGGACUGAGAUACGGCCCAGACUCCUACGGGAGGCAGCAGUGGGGAAUAUUGCACAAUGGGCGCAAGCCUGAUGCAGCAACGCCGCGUGCGGGAUGACGGCCUUCGGGUUGGAAACCGCUUUCAGCAGGGACGAAGCUUUUUGUGACGGUACCUGCAGAAGAGGCACCGGCUAACUACGUG